ensembl:lncRNA
CCCGAUUACCUACACAGGCACCCCUGUCCUAACUUGUCUGCGCAGAGAGGGUGUUUAAUUCUUCCACCUGGAGGGCGUGCCGCCUUCUAAUUCACUGUGUCUCUGCCUUCUGUAGGUGACCAUUCUUUGUUUUUGCUCCUAAAGUCCCAGCAAGGGGUGCCUCCUGAUUGGGAGUCUUGUCCUCGCUCCUUGCUCCUGGGCGUCUGCAUUUUCACAACGGCCCUUUGUGGUAGGUAGGUCCUCGCCUCCUUCAAACGACCUUGAGUAGCACUGUCCUCUGCCCCCUUUCUGGCUGCCACAGGAAGAGGCAUGACUGCUGUGAGUCCAGGGCUUGAAGCCAUUUUAGACUCAGGCAGGAAAAAUAAACAGAUGGGGGAGGAGGCUGCCCUCACGUCCUCGCUCUCAUUAUUCACCCAUCCCCAGUGGUCAGUGGGUGACGUAUUUAGGACUCAGACUUGCAGUUUGUCGACUGACUAAACAAUAGGGCUUUAUUGAGCAACUCCCAUGGGCCCGUGUCUCUUAGGCCUAUUUUACAGAAGGAAAAGCUGAGUGAACACAAAGAAAUUGCUCAGAACCAGACAUGGCUGGGGCUGCCUUGGGGUGGUUUUUGUGCUGAAUCACGGGCCUGACUGCUGCCCCAGAGCAAAGGAGAACCGUCUCCUGUGGUCGGUGGAGUUUCACUGCUUCCUCUUCUGACUUUUUCCACUCGGACUGAUCCUCGUCCUUGCCUGGCCACUUCUGCGUGUCCCACAGAGGCGGAACUUUGGGCCAGGUGGGCCCAGGGGGAGAGACCAGAAGGACAGAACAGCCGCUUAGACGGGCUUUCCAGGUGCACUGCCGUAUUUGGUAUACAAAUAACACCUCACGUCUGUGGUGAUGGGUCCUUAGGAAUAGACAGAGAAAUCGCCUUGGAAUUUGGUGACUUCAGGACAUGGCUUUGUUUUAAAAAAUUCAUUUCCAGACCUCAGCCGACAAUUUUUCCCAGCAAGCGUGAAAAAGUGAAUUUCAUUUGGACCUGAUGCGAGGUGAAUUAACAAAUUAUACCCUUGUACGGCAAGAAUAUCGAAGAAGAAAAUGAAUGAUUUUUCUCUGGAAUGAUUCUUAGUAAGCCAAAAAGAAAAAUCAACAAACUAAGCUAAAUAAAACAAUAACAAAAGUCCUCUCCAGUACUGUGUUUGGUCCAGUUGGUACAAAGUUUGUACCUGGUUUUAUGAGCUAACUUUUCCCUCAUUGUUUAAAUGGAUUUGGACAUUAUCUUUCCAACAUGCCGUUUACAAGGAAGGUGUGCGCUGGUUUGCUUUUGCGGUGCGUUUACAAAGCCGCCUAUCGAAGUGGUUCACAAGCAAAACAGAGGCCCUGGAAAGACGAUAUACCUUCCUUCCUGAGCAGAUAUUUCAGGAUUGGGGAAGCAGGGUUUCCUGUGUUCUCACAAGGGGUUGAGAUAAAGAAACCCAGGGCCGUUUCAGAAAGAAUCGAGCCUGGAAUGAGCAUGAGGCAGUUGUUUUUGUGUGCAGGGCCCCGUUCUACAAUGAGAGGCGGGCAGACUGUGUGUGGACAGGACGUGACGUGGGGUGGGGUAGGGAGCUGGGAGAGCACUCUGAAGCCUGUGAUGUCAGGGAGCAGGUCUGCAGGACUCCCUGGGAAGUUCAGCUUCUCCUCCUCCUCCCCCGCCAUCCCCCGCUGGGCCAACCUUUGAUGCCGCACACAGUUGUGUCUUACCUCUGUCCUCUUUUACACCAAGAGAGCAUCAGCCGGCUUGGUGCCUUCUGGGAACAUUUGUUUACUUUACAUUAUGUUUUCUCCUUGUUUCUAUGUUUGUCAAAAGGCAAAACGAAGAGGUGGGUAAGAUUUGCCUUCCGUGUAUUUCCCCAUCCUCCAUCCAAUUUCCCUUUUGUGUUUUCCCUGCCCCCUUCCUCUUCGAGUCCUGCCAGCUAGGGGUUCCUUCUGCAUGAAUGAAAGCACUUUGAGCACUUAAUUCAUCCAAAGAUUUUGCUGUCUGAGAACUGCGGCCUCUUCCAGAUACUUAUUGCAUUUAAAAGAAGUCCAUGAAAGGAAAGAAAAACCCAGCAAUUACCAAAUAUUAAAAAAAAAUAAAGAUAAUAAUAUAGCCAUAAGGAAGGAAAAAUCCGAUAACAAUAACAAGAAGCUUAUGUUUAUUGGGAGGGCUGUGUUAGGUGGAAAGGAAAUGGGAAGAAUUAUAAGAUCAUAAAUUUUCUCACCUUUCUUAAUUGGAACAUAAUGGAUACUACUUGAUUUCUGAAGCUAAUUGAGACAUAGAAAUUUAAGCAUCUCAUUUAAAAUUGAAAAGGUUGACCACUUCUAGGACUCAAAUUCAGAGUACACAGUUAAAGAAAACAAAGGAAAUAUAAAUGAAG